GAGCGCAGAGCUGCAGCCGCCGAGCCGGACGUGUCCGCGAAGAUGGCGGGCCGGAGCAUGCAAGCGGCAAGAUGUCCUACAGAUGAAUUAUCUUUAACCAAUUGUGCAGUUGUGAAUGAAAAGGAUUUCCAGUCUGGCCAGCAUGUGAUUGUGAGGACCUCUCCCAAUCACAGGUACACAUUUACACUGAAGACACAUCCAUCGGUGGUUCCAGGGAGCAUUGCAUUCAGUUUACCUCAGAGAAAAUGGGCUGGGCUUUCUAUUGGGCAAGAAAUAGAAGUCUCCUUAUAUACAUUUGACAAAGCCAAACAGUGUAUUGGCACAAUGACCAUCGAGAUUGAUUUCCUGCAGAAAAAAAGCAUUGACUCCAACCCUUAUGACACCGACAAGAUGGCAGCAGAAUUUAUUCAGCAAUUCAACAACCAGGCCUUCUCAGUGGGACAACAGCUUGUCUUUAGCUUCAAUGAAAAGCUUUUUGGCUUACUGGUGAAGGACAUUGAAGCCAUGGAUCCUAGCAUCCUGAAGGGAGAGCCUGCGACAGGGAAAAGGCAGAAGAUUGAAGUAGGACUGGUUGUUGGAAACAGUCA